GACGAACGCUGGCGGCGUGCCUAACACAUGCAAGUCGAGCGAUGAAGUUCCUUCGGGAACGGAUUAGCGGCGGACGGGUGAGUAACACGUGGGCAACCUGCCUUAUAGAGGGGAAUAGCCUUCCGAAAGGAAGAUUAAUACCGCAUAAGAUUGUAGCUUCGCAUGAAGUAGCAAUUAAAGGAGCAAUCCGCUAUAAGAUGGGCCCGCGGCGCAUUAGCUAGUUGGUGGGGUAAAAGCCUACCAAGGCGACGAUCAGUAGCCGACCUGAGAGGGUGAUCGGCCACAUUGGAACUGAGACACGGUCCAA
rnacentral:rRNA from 1 species